rnacentral:rRNA from 1 species
UACGGGGGGGGCAAGCGUUGUUCGGAAUUACUGGGCGUAAAGGGCUCGUAGGUGGCCAACUAAGUCAGACGUGAAAUCCCUCAGCUUAACUGGGGAACUGCGUCUGAUACUGGAUGGCUUGAGUUUGGGAGAGGGAUGCGGAAUUCCAGGUGUAGCGGUGAAAUGCGUAGAGAUCGGGAAGAACAUCGGUGGCGAAGGCGGCCUGCUGGGCUCUUGCUGACACUGAUGCGCGACAGCGUGGGGAGCAAACAGG